GCCCAGUGAUAACUAAAUUUUGACUUCUGGCCUGCAACAAAAUGUAUUUCUGUCACUCAAGCCACCAAGUUUUGUGAGUCUAUUACAGCAGCCACAGAACAUGAAUAUAGAGGCGGUAUUUAGGGAAAAAUCACAGAAGUUUAUCAGUGAAGGGGCUUUUUAUCUAUAGAUUAUAACCACAAGUAGAAUAACAAAGGUACCUAAUAGGUCCUUAGUUUAUUAACAAAGCAGUUUCCCUAGAUUCUUCUAUUAGUCUCUAUCCAUUUGCUAGCACAUGAUU
rnacentral:lncRNA from 1 species